GUAUACCAACAAACGCAAAACGACGCUCCCAUAAGGAGAGGAAAAAGAAAGUGGGGAGGAAAAAUAUUUGAAAAGAUAAUUCCCAAAGGAAUUAUUUGAAAGCAGAGAUAGAAGCUUCCUGGCUGCUUGGAGACACAUUUUUUCCAGAUCUGGGAGGACUACACGAUUUUCAGAUACGAGAAACGUGAUCUCAACUGAAUGCGUGGGAAACAUAGCACUGAGAAAAUUUCAAAUGACCCUGUAUCAGAGUACAUUUGUUGAAACACUGAUGAAAAAUGGUAAUAAACAACCCCAAUGUGUAAUCAGAAAUUAUUUUUCACCAUGAUCCUUGCAGUCUUCACUACAGGCCCC